rnacentral:rRNA from 1 species
GUCGAGCGAACGGACGAGAAGCUUGCUUCUCUGAUGUUAGCGGCGGACGGGUGAGUAACACGUGGAUAACCUACCUAUAAGACUGGGAUAACUUCGGGAAACCGGAGCUAAUACCGGAUAAUAUUUUGAACCGCAUGGUUCAAAAGUGAAAGACGGUCUUGCUGUCACUUAUAGAUGGAUCCGCGCUGCAUUAGCUAGUUGGUAAGGUAACGGCUUACCAAGGCAACGAUGCAUAGCCGACCUGAGAGGGUGAUCGGCCACACUGGAACUGAGACACGGUCCAGACUCCUACGGGAGGCAGCAGUAGGGAAUCUUCCGCAAUGGGCGAAAGCCUGACGGAGCAACGCCGCGUGAGUGAUGAAGGUCUUCGGAUCGUAAAACUCUGUUAUUAGGGAAGAACAUAUGUGUAAGUAACUGUGCACAUCUUGACGGUACCUAAUCAGAAAGCCACGGCUAACUACGUGCCAGCAGCCGCGGUAAUACGUAGGUGGCAAGCGUUAUCCGGAAUUAUUGGGCGUAAAGCGCGCGUAGGCGGUUUUUUAAGUCUGAUGUGAAAGCCCACGGCUCAACCGUGGAGGGUCAUUGGAAACUGGAAAACUUGAGUGCAGAAGAGGAAAGUGGAAUUCCAUGUGUAGCGGUGAAAUGCGCAGAGAUAUGGAGGAACACCAGUGGCGAAGGCGACUUUCUGGUCUGUAACUGACGCUGAUGUGCGAAAGCGUGGGGAUCAAACAGGAUUAGAUACCCUGGUAGUCCACGCCGUAAACGAUGAGUGCUAAGUGUUAGGGGGUUUCCGCCCCUUAGUGCUGCAGCUAACGCAUUAAGCACUCCGCCUGGGGAGUACGACCGCAAGGUUGAAACUCAAAGGAAUUGACGGGGACCCGCACAAGCGGUGGAGCAUGUGGUUUAAUUCGAAGCAACGCGAAGAACCUUACCAAAUCUUGACAUCCUUUGACAACUCUAGAGAUAGAGCCUUCCCCUUCGGGGGACAAAGUGACAGGUGGUGCAUGGUUGUCGUCAGCUCGUGUCGUGAGAUGUUGGGUUAAGUCCCGCAACGAGCGCAACCCUUAAGCUUAGUUGCCAUCAUUAAGUUGGGCACUCUAAGUUGACUGCCGGUGACAAACCGGAGGAAGGUGGGGAUGACGUCAAAUCAUCAUGCCCCUUAUGAUUUGGGCUACACACGUGCUACAAUGGACAAUACAAAGGGCAGCGAAACCGUGAGGUCAAGCAAAUCCCAUAAAGUUGUUCUCAGUUCGGAUUGUAGUCUGCAACUCGACUACAUGAAGCUGGAAUCGCUAGUAAUCGUAGAUCAGCAUGCUACGGUGAAUACGUUCCCGGGUCUUGUACACACCGCCCGUCACGCCACGAGAGUUUGUAACACCCGAAGCCGGUGGAGUAACCUCUAGGAGCUAGCCG